GAGAUUGUAGGGUGUUUCUACUCAUGUUAGUCUAGGAGCCGGGGCUACGGCCGGCUCCGGCGGACGGCUCACAUCACGUGGCUAACCUACCCUCGGGAGGGGGAUAACCCCGGGAAACUGGGGCUAAUCCCCCAUAGGCGCAGACUCCUGGAAUGGGUCCGCGCCGAAAAGGCUGCAACGCCAUGCCCGUUGCAGCCGCCCGAGGAUGGGGCUGCGCCCCAUCAGGUAGUUGGCGGGGUAACGGCCCGCCAAGCCGAUAACGGGUGGGGGCCGUGAGAGCGGGAGCCCCGAGAUGGGCACUGAGACAAGGGCCCAGGCCCUACGGGGCGCACCAGGGGCGAAACUUCCGCAAUGCGGGAAACCGUGACGGAGCCACCCUGAGUGCCACCCGAUGAGGGUGGCUUUUGCCCGGUCUAAAAAGCCGGGCGAAUAAGCGGGGGGCAAGCCUGGUGUCAGCCGCCGCGUAAAAAACAAGACAU
rnacentral:rRNA from 1 species